rnacentral:rRNA from 1 species
CAGCCGCCGCGGGAAUACGAGGGGGGCAAGCGUUGUUCGGAAUUAUUGGGCGUAAAGGGUGUGUAGGCGGUUUGGUAAGUUUGUUGUGAAAGCCCCGGGCUCAACCUGGGAAUGGCAAUGGAUACUGGCGAGCUAGAGUGUGUCAGAGGAUGGUGGAAUUCCCGGUGUAGCAGUGAAAUGCGUAGAGAUCGGAAGGAACAUCUGUGGCGAAGGCGACUAUCUGGGCCAACACUGACACUGAGGCACGAAAGCGUGGGGAGCAAACAGGAUUAGAGACCCCUGUAGUCCCUGUCUCUUAUAC